rfam:Otolemur garnettii contig135518, whole genome shotgun sequence.
AGCUUUGUGCAGUGGCAGUGUUGUAGCCAAUGAGGUCUAUCUGAGGUACAAUUAUUGCUAAUUGAAAACUUUUCCCAAUGCCCUGCUGUGAUGACUUGUAACAUAGUCAGCAUUGGCAAUUUUUCUUUUUUUCUUUU